GACGAACGCUGGCGGCGUGCCUAAUACAUGCAAGUAGAACGCUGAAGGAGGAGCUUGCUUCUCUGGAUGAGUUGCGAACGGGUGAGUAACGCGUAGGUAACCUGCCUGGUAGCGGGGGAUAACUAUUGGAAACGAUAGCUAAUACCGCAUAAUAUUGACUAUUGCAUGAUAGUCAGUUGAAAGGUGCAACUGCACCACUACCAGAUGGACCUGCGUUGUAUUAGCUAGUUGGUGGGGUAACGGCUCACCAAGGCGACGAUACAUAGCCGACCUGAGAGGGUGAUCGGCCACAAUGGGACUGGGACACGGCCCAGACUCCUACGGGAGGCAGCAGUAGGGAAUCUUCGGCAAUGGACGGAAGUCUGACCGAGCAACGCCGCGUGAGUGAAGAAGGGUUUCGGAUCGUAAAGCUCUGUUGUAAGAGAAGAAAGAGUGUGAGAGUGGAAAGCUCACACUGUGACGGUAUCUUAACAGAAAGGGACGGCUAACUACGUG
rnacentral:rRNA from 1 species